GUCAUGGGCUGUUAAAAGCAUUGUUGUGCUCUGCAGCUGGUACCUGGGAAACCCAGCUGUGAGAUAUGAGCUGUGGAUGAAAUGUAGAAGUGAAACAGCAGCUGUGACCAGGCUGGACAUUUCCUGGCUCAAAUCACUAGUUUCUCCUGUUUUUGGGGGGCCAAGGCCCCACAAGACGCACACACACAUGUUGUGAGUUCCAGCUUGGUGUGGUGCAGUAGGCAGAGUUCACAAACACUGUGAAGAAGUCCAAAUCUCCUUUCUGCCCUCACAGCUGCUGAGCUUCACACACAGGAUUAAGACCUCCCUGUUUAUGUUUCCACCUAAAUUUCCCCUCCCACCCUCCCCCACCCCCCCUUUUUUUUUUUUUUUAUUUUUAGUAUUAGAUAUCCUCAGUCAGGGAUUGUGGCACAUCUCUCCUAUGUUGUCACAAGGAUGAUUUUGUGAACAUCACAUAUACAGCUUGUAGCCUGGCAUAGCACCAACGCAAGCGCUUUGCAGAUGAUGACCUAGCAGAGAUGAAGCAUGGAAGGGACAGAGAGGACAAGCCCCACUGGCUCCAGCAGGGAGAGGGGGGACACCUGAGUGCAAGCUGGCAUUCACAAUGAGUCUGAGUCCCCACAGAUGCAUAGUAACUACAUUGGCAGCCCUUCCAACACCUGCAACAUCCAUUCCACAGUUUCUCAGUUUUCUGUUCCCAGUGUAAACACUGUUUGCCUUUAGCAAGUUAAACCGUUUGCUCCCCUGUAGUAUUCCCCCUGCCUUGGAUUCUUCAGUAGUCUGCUGUGCUUUAGCAGUCUAUGCAUCUGAGAUCCGAAACCUGGAGGGAUUAUAGCAUGAACUCACUCCUAAACAAUCUGCAAAUGAUACUCAGAUGCUAAUGCUCGUGCCAUUCAACCGGAGGGAACGUUGGGCAAAUCAGUGCCUCAGAUUUCAUGGGUCUUUGGUUAUAAUUUUUCUUAUGCUGUUAUCUAGCUAGAUGUGUUAACCAUCAGUUUGUUGACCCAGAUUGCAAACCAGUGUUUACAUGAGGAAAGAAGACACUCCCACAGCAGGUUGCACAGUUCUGCAACUUUCUCACCCAACUAAUCACAUUACCACCAGUUGGAUUCCUCUCCUCAGUAAACGGACACAAGAACUUGUUUGCAAGAGCAAGGAAUUUAUAAUUAUUGACCAAGCAUUCAUUAUGGCAGCUAUCAAGAAAAAGUGACACCCACACAUCUCCUUCACUUACUGGCGAUGAUAAUAAAGGAGAUAAACAACUGGAGCUCAUGCAGUUAGACUUAAUCUUUGUAUGUCAUCAUCACCAAGCAAAGCCACAGCAAUAGGAAAACAGAGCUGUUUUGUGCUGCUUGUUUCUAACUGACAUUUCCUCACAGAUCAAGUUGCUCAUGUAACCUGUGGACUCUUUGAACUUCAUUGUGUGCCCGCUGUGUUUCACAGUGUGUCAGUGCUGUCAUGCAGUGCUGAGCUGCAGCACAGAUACCCUCUGCUCAUAUCCUGGUUCUCAUUUUUCUUCUCUGCCUCAGUGGUUUGAAAUCAGAUUGCAGAGCCUCAACAGAAAUGCAGUAAUUAAAAAACAAAAGCAAAACAAAACAAACAAAAAACCCCACCACCUAGUAGGAACACUGAUGUUAAAACCUUCUACUGCAGGUGAAAUGUAUGGUUUGUAAGCAACAGAUUGUUUAGUUAAGAAAGGAGAAAAGGCAGAAAUAGCGACGUUUUAAAAACGUUUUUUUGAUCAAGUGUAUAUGCAUUGUUAGUUUAACUUGAAUAAUCUCAGGAAAUAAGCACAGAACCUCCAUCCUUCCAAGGACUGCUUUUAUUGGAAAUUCACUGGAGCUACAGUCCAAACUAAUGCAUUUCUCUAGCUGCUGGAGACAAGCCCUGGAGUCACUUAGCUCCACUGUUUCUGCAGUCUGCCAUAGAGCUGUCCUGCCUUUCCAGCCUGCUGCUGUUUAUUUGGCCACUGCCAUUUGAAUAUCAUUUGCUGCUUUUGUUUCAAGAACUUCCUGGGUCUCAACGUUGUGCCUCAGACGGUUCAUGGGACCCAGCAUGGCUUUCCCCAUCAGUGCUGCUAGUUCCUCAUUGGUGAAGAGCAGCGUGUGCUGUAGAAAGUGCUUAUUAAGGCAAGAAAGAUCUAGGUAUUUUUAAUGCUGCUAUUUCCAGUAUAUGGCCAGGGAGAAGCAGAAGUCUGUUUUGUGCAGCAUAUACUGCAGCUGGUUUCUUCAUUGCAAUUUCCCUGAGGGACCGUUCCAGAGUUCCACUAAAGUGGUUUUAGAGUGGUUUCUCCAUUAACCCCUUUUUGCUUCUGCCAUCUUUGUUGCUAGGUUGCUCCAUCGCGGGACUGGACUUGAAAUUAGCAUCAAUGCUGCAUGCAUGCAGCAGGAAGGGUGGCUAUUCCCUUGCUGCCCAGUUCUGUAUCUUCAUAGUUUCAUGUGCUACUGUUAAGAGAAAACAUUAGCAUUACUUCGGCAUGCUGCUAAUGAGAAAAAGAGCUAGCUGGGGAUAUUGCUCCCAAAGUUGACAUUCUGCCCCUUUGCAUCAGGAGCUAUGCAAAGAGAGGAAUGAUUUCCAUUCUCCAGGCAGUUUUGAGUUGGCUGGGUCAAGAAGCCCAGAAAGGAAUGCAAGCAGCCUACUUCAUCAUUUUCACUAGCAAAGGAGAAAACAACAGCUCUCAUCUUGACCACUGGUGUUU
ensembl:lncRNA